UUGAUGGGAGGUGCUGUGAUUGGUUAGCGCGCUGGACUCCGGAUCGAGCGGUCCGGGUUCGAGCCCUGGCCAGGAGUAAA